UGGGGAAUCUUGCACAAUGGGGGAAACCCUGAUGCAGCGACGCCGCGUGAGCGAUGAAGGUUUUCGAAUCGUAAAGCUCUGUCCUAUGGGAAGAUAAUGACGGUACCAUGGUAGGAAGCCCCGGCUAACUACGUGCCAGCAGCCGCGGUAAUACGUAGGGGGCGAGCGUUGUCCGGAAUUACUGGGCGUAAAGGGUUCGCAGGCGGCAUGGCAAGUCCGAUGUAAAAGGCGAAGGCUCAACCUUCGUAAGCAUCGGAAACUGUCAAGCUUGAGUGAAGGAGAGGCAAGUGGAAUUCCUAGUGUAGCGGUGGAAUGCGUAGAUAUUAGGAGGAAUACCGGUGGCGAAGGCGACUUGCUGGACUUCAACUGACGCUGAGGAACGAAAGCGUGGGUAGCAAACAGG
rnacentral:rRNA from 1 species